rnacentral:tRNA from 1 species
AGCCCCAUCGAAUAGUGGUCAAGUUCGCAGCCCUCUGGCGGCUGAAACCUCGGUUCGAAUCCGAGUGGGGCUA